rnacentral:tRNA from 1 species
GCAGUCGUGGCCGAGUGGUUAAAGGCGAUGGACUAGAAAUUCAUAUUGGGUCUCCCCGCACACGUUCGAAUCCUGUCGACUGCG